rnacentral:rRNA from 1 species
GACGAACGCUGGCGGCGUGCUUAACACAUGCAAGUCGAACGGAAAGGCCUCUUUCGGGGGGUACUCGAGUGGCGAACGGGUGAGUAACACGUGAGUAACCUGCCCUUGACUUUGGGAUAACUUCAGGAAACUGGGGCUAAUACCGGAUAGGAGCUCCUGCUGCAUGGUGGGGGUUGGAAAGUUUCGGCGGUUGGGGAUGGACUCGCGGCUUAUCAGCUUGUUGGUGGGGUAGUGGCUUACCAAGGCUUUGACGGGUAGCCGGCCUGAGAGGGUGACCGGCCACUUUGGGACUGAGAUACGGCCCAGACUCCUACGGGAGGCAGCAGUGGGGAAUAUUGCACAAUGGGUGGAAGCCUGAUGCAGCAACGCCGUGUGCGGGAUGACGGCCUUCGGGUUGUAAACCGCUUUCGCUCAUGACGAAGCUUUGUGUGACGGUAGUGGGUAAAGAAGCACCGGCUAACUACGUG